GAUGAACGCUGGCGGCGUGCCUAAUACAUGCAAGUCGAGCGAACAGACGAGGAGCUUGCUCCUCUGACGUUAGCGGCGGACGGGUGAGUAACACGUGGAUAACCUACCUAUAAGACUGGGAUAACUUCGGGAAACCGGAUCUAAUACCGCAUAAUAUAUUGAACCGCAUGGUUCAAUAGUGAAAGACGGUUUUGCUGUCACUUCUCGAUGGAUCCGCGCCGCAUUAGCUAGUUGGUAAGGUAACGGCUUACCAAGGCAACGAUGCGUAGCCGACCUGAGAGGGUGAUCGGCCACACUGGAACUGAGACACGGUCCAGACUCCUACGGGAGGCAGCAGUAGGGAAUCUUCCGCAAUGGGCGAAAGCCUGACGGAGCAACGCCGCGUGAGUGAUGAAGGUCUUCGGAUCGUGAAACUCUGUUAUUAGGGGAGAACAAAUGUGUAAGUAACUAUGCACGUCUUGACGGUACCUAAUCAGAAAGCCACGGCUAACUACGUG
rnacentral:rRNA from 1 species